rnacentral:rRNA from 1 species
UACGUAGGGGCCUAGCGUUGUCCGGAUUUAUUGGGCGUAAAGAGCUCGUAGGCGGUUCGGUAAGUCAGGUGUGAAAUCUCCACGCUCAACGUGGAGGCGCCACCUGAAACUGCCGUGACUCGAGUCCGGUAGGGGAGUGUGGAAUUCCCGGUGUAGCGGUGAAAUGCGCAGAUAUCGGGAGGAACACCAGUGGCGAAGGGCGCUUUCUGGCCUGUUCUUGACGCUGAGGCGCGAAAGCUAGGGGAGCAAACGGG